rnacentral:lncRNA from 1 species
AGACUAUCAAUAUCAUCUAAAACUGUAAAAGGCAUGUUACUAACUGCCUUUGAUUUCCUAGGAAAGUAAAAAUAUNUAAAACAAAGUAAUAUAUACAGACGACAUACGCAAUCCACAUCAGAGUCAUCAUUUUGUAACAAGAAUUUUAUCCUAUCAACAACGUCUUUUGGACUAAAUGAGUUUGAUGAAAAUUGUUCACAGACAACACCAACAACAUUAUCAUCAAAAUGAACAUCUAAUCCCCCAACUCCUAGACCUAGACCCAUAC